GACGAACGCUGGCGGCGUGCCUAAUACAUGCAAGUCGAACGCUUCUUUCCUCCCGAGUGCUUGCACUCAAUUGGAAAGAGGAGUGGCGGACGGGUGAGUAACACGUGGGUAACCUACCCAUCAGGGGGGGAUAACACUUGGAAACAGGUGCUAAUACCGCAUAACAGUUUAUGCCGCAUGGCAUAAGAGUGAAAGGCGCUUUCGGGUGUCGUUGAUGGAUGGACCCGCGGUGCAUUAGCUAGUUGGUGAGGUAACGGCUCACCAAGGCCACGAUGCAUAGCCGACCUGAGAGGGUGAUCGGCCACACUGGGACUGAGACACGGCCCAGACUCCUACGGGAGGCAGCAGUAGGGAAUCUUCGGCAAUGGACGAAAGUCUGACCGAGCAACGCCGCGUGAGUGAAGAAGGUUUUCGGAUCGUAAAACUCUGUUGUUAGAGAAGAACAAGGACGUUAGUAACUGAACGUCCCCUGACGGUAUCUAACCAGAAAGCCACGGCUAACUACGUG
rnacentral:rRNA from 1 species